rnacentral:rRNA from 1 species
UACGUAGGUGGCAAGCGUUAUCCGGAAUUACUGGGUGUAAAGGGCGCGUAGGCGGGCGUGCAAGUUAGAUGUGAAAACCUGGGGCUCAACUCCAGACUUGCAUCUAAAACUGCACAUCUUGAGUGUCAGAGGGGAAAGUGGAAUUCCUAGUGGAGCGGUAAAAUGCGUAGAGAUUAGGAGGAACAUCGGUGGCGAAGGCGACUUUCUGGCUGACAACUGACGCUGAGGCGCGAAAGCGUGGGUAGCGAACAGG